GAGAGCCAGAGUUAGACAGGGCUUGGAUGAGCCAGAGAUAGGGAGAGAAGAUCUCUGGUUAGGGUCUCUAGAGCAGGACUGAGGGUGGAACUGGGAGGUUGGUGGGUAGGUUGUACACACCUGGGAAAACCUCUGCAACUCAAGCUUGACUACCACUAUGUGAAUUCUGGGAGUAUAUGAUUUAAUACACAGGUUAUAUAGCCAUGGAGGUUGUGUCCCAGGAACACUACUCCCAGUCCCAGCCUUGGGCGAGUCUCUGACAGGGUCAGAAUAAAAUCAAAACACAAGAAGCUCCCAACAAUGUUGACUGCAGCGUGGACGAUGAAGGACUGAGGGGAUGAGGAGAGGCAGAGCCGAAUAUAGCAGUGGGGGCAGGGUUCCUGCCUGCCAAAAGGAAGAGCUGAGAAGCUUGGAAAGUUCCCAAUGUGGUCUCCAUGCAUACACAGAGCCCAGAGACUAUGUCCCAGAACCAUAUAUAUUUAUUUAGAUUUAUAACUUCCUGAAUUUGAGAAACUUGGAAUAUGCAACCAAAGUAUUAAUCCCACUGAUAAAUCAAGAGGAGAGAAAUCAACUACAUCUACUAACAAUCCUGAGCUAUGAAAGUCUAGACAGCUAAGUCUUAUAAUACUAUCUCCUUGUUGCCACUCCAAAAGCCCCAUCAAGGUGUAUUUCGAAUUAAAGAUGGUAGAACUGGAGGGAAUUCCAGUGUCAUUAAA